CAGAAGCGAACCCUUUCUGUGCAGGUUGGGAGAGGUGGCAAUGCUCUGUGCUUGGGGUGGUAUUGCACUUGUCCCGGCCUGUUGAGGACAUGGGGACUGUUCUG
ensembl:miRNA mir92a-1 microRNA mir-92a-1